rnacentral:rRNA from 1 species
CCUGGUUGAUCCUGCCAGUAGUCAUAUGCUUGUCUCAAAGAUUAAGCUAUGCAUGUAUAAGAAUGAACAAAUUCAGAUUGUGAAACUGCGAAUGGCUCAUUAAAUCAGUUAUAGUUUGUUUGAUGUUAUCUACUACUCAGAUAACCGUAUUAAUUCUAGAGCUAAUACGUGCAACAAACCCCGACUUCUGGAAGGGAUGUAUUUAUUAAAUAAAAGGUCGAUGCGGGCUCUUCCCAUUGUUGUGAUGAUUAAUGAUAACUCGACGGAUCGCACGGCUAUCGUUCCGGCAACACAUUAUUCAAAUUUUAGUCCUAUCAAGUUUGGAUGGUAGGGUAGUGUCCUACCAUGAUGGUGAUGGAUGACGAAGAAGUAGGUUUGAUUUCAGAGAGGGAGCCUGAGAAACAGCUACCACAUCUAAAGAAGGCAGCAGGCAUGCAAAUUACCCAAUCCUGACACGGGAAGGUAGUGAUAAUACAUAAUAAUAUCGGGCUCAAUGAAUCUGGUAAUUGGAAUGAGUACAAUCUAACUCCCUUAACGAGGAUCUAUUGGAGGGAGAGUCUGGUGCCAGCAGCCCCGAUAAUUCCAGCACCAAUAGCGUAUAUAUAAGUUGUUGCAGUUAAAAUGUUCAAAGUUAGACUUUGGGAUUGGCCGGCCGAUCCACAUAUGGUGUGCAUUGGUCAUCUCGUCCCUUCUAUCGGUGAUGCACUCCUGGCCUUAACUGGACGGGUCGUGCCUCCGGCGCUGUUACUUUGAAGAAAUUAGAGUGCUUAAAGCAAGCCUACGCUCUGUAUACAUUAGCAUGGGAUAACAUUAUAGGAUUUCAAUCCUAUUACGUUGGCCUUCCGGAUUGGAGUAAUGAUUAACAGGGACAGUCGAGGGCAUUCAUAUUUCAUAGUCAGAGGUGAAAUUAUUGGAUUUAUGAAAUACAAACAACUGCGUAAGCAUUUUUCAAGGAUGUUUUCAUUAAUCAAGAACAAAAGUUGGCGCCUCAAAGGCGAUCAGAUACCGUCCUAGUCUCAAUUAUAAAUGAUGCCAACCAGUGAUUGGUGGAUGUUGCUUUUAGGACUCCGCUAGCAACUUCUGAGAAAUCAAUGUUUUUGGGUUCCGGGGGGAGUAUGGUCGGAAGGCUGAAACUUGAAGAAAUUGAUGGAAGGGCACCAACAGAAGUAGAGCGUGUGGCUUAACUUGACUCAACACGGGGAAACUUACCAGGUCCAUACAUAGUAAGGAUUGACAGACUGAGAGCUCUUUCUUGAUUCUAUGGGUGGUGGUGCAUGGCCGUUCUUAGUUGGUGGAGCGAUUUGUCUGGUUAAUUCCGUUAACGAACGAGACCUCAGCCUGCUAACUAGCUAUGCGGAGGUAUCCCUUCGCGGCCAGCUNCCCAUUCUUAGUUGGUAGAGCGAUUUGUCUGGUUAAUUUUGUUUAUGAACGAUACCUUAACCUGCUAACUAGCUAUGCGGAGGUAUCCCUUCAUGGCCAAAUUCUUAGAGGGACUACGGCCUUUUAGGCCGCGAAAUUUUGAGGCAAUAACAGGCCUGUAAAACCCUUAGAUAUUCUGGACCGCACGCGCGAUACGCUGAUGUAUUCAACAAGUUUAUAGCCUUGUCCAAUAGGCCCAGGUAAUCUUUGAAAUUUCAUCGUGAUGGGGAUAGAUUAUUGUAAUUGUUGGUCUUCAAUGAGGAAUUCCUAGUAAGCACGAAUCAUCAACUUGCGUUGACUACGUCCCUGCCCUUUGUACACACUGCCCGUCACUCAUACCGAUUGAAUGAUCCAGUGAAAUAUUUGGAUCACGGAGACGUGGGUGGUUCGCUGCCAUCAAAGUCAUGAGAAGUCCAUUGAACCUUAUCAUUUAGAGGAAGGAGAAAUCAUAACAAGGUUUUUGUAGCUGAACCUGCGGAAA